rnacentral:lncRNA from 1 species
UUUUUUGGCUGCCCACAGUAUAUGGAGUUCCCAGGCCAGGGAUCAGAUCAAAAUCACAGUUGCAACUGAUGUCACAGCAGCAGCAAUGCCAUAUCCUUAACCCAUUGUGCCAGGGAUCAAACCUGUGUCCCAGCACUACCAAGAUGCUGUCGAUCCCAUUGCCCCACAGCAGGAACCCAUGUGGCUGAAUGUUAAAUGAGUGAAGAGUAAGAACUGCAUAGAGCAAGGGAACUAGAACAGCACAAGUGCCGGUUGCUGCCUGGAAAGACAUGUGGAAUGUUACCUUUACACUUGGAUGACAUAUCAGUUGGGUAUAAUAUUGCAGUGCACGUUAACAGAAAAGCAAAACUCCAACUGGAUUGAGAAGACUCAACUCAAGGGCCAUCAUAAAGUGGGUUGUACCAGAGUACUCAGUGUUUGUUUUUGCUCCUCUUUUUAAUCUUGAUGAAAAAUUUGUUGUAGAACUAUCAGAAUUGUAAUAUGCUUUACCACUGACUCAGCUAAUUUCAUGUUUGAUUGGCAGGGUUUUUUUUUUAGGCUGUUGAUGGACAUAAAUUGUUUUCCUCUGGAAAAGGUGGGACACAAUCUCCAUAGGCUUAGGGCAGUUUGGUGGAGUGAGAGGAGGGGAAGCCAGUGUGAAGAGGGGCGAGGAAGUGUAGACAGCAAGAGGAGAAACGUUUUCAAGAAAACAGGCUGUGCUGUGAUAGGAAAGAAACAGGAGUAGUUGUAGAGUACCGUGAGAUGGGAAAGUCAUAAACACCUUGAACACGAAGGAGUCAGUGGAGGGAGCGCUUAGAGAGGAAGGAGUGAUGGAGGGAACCAGUUCCUGAAGGGAGUGGGCAGAAGAUGGGUUCCAGGGCUUGGAACCCACGUAGGGGCACCUCUAUGGCCACCAUACCCCAUAUAGCACAGUGGUUCAGCUCAGGGAUUAGAGGGAGAUGGUCUGGCUUUGAAACCUGCAUCAUCAAGACGGCUUGACUUUGGUCAAGUUACUUACUCGAAGGCAGAAAUGUCCGUUCCUUGUUUCCAAACCGGGGAUACUAGCAGCAUUGGUGGUACAGUGGUGAACAUAGCUGUCUUCCAAAAUGGGGAUACUGACAGUGCCUGUCCCAGAAAGUUAUUAUGAAGAUCAGAUGAGUUGAUACAGGUAAAGAGCUUAGGACAGUGCCUGGAACAUAUGAAGUGCUGGAUAAAAGAUAGCUAUCUGUGGUCAGUGCAGACUAGCGGUUAGCUAACUUGUAAAGCUAGAGAGAGGAGGGGAAAGACUGCUGAGGCUUGUGGAAACUCCACUUGGAAAAGAGGAAAGAUAAUAGAGCCCACACCAGGGGCUUUGUUCUUUGGAGUUAGAGCUGGGCGCACCUCCCUGUGCCAGCCAAACCUUGAUGUUUUUAUCUGGACAGAGCUCCAUCUCAAGAGCGAUUGUGAUGAGUAAUAACAUAAAUGGGUAAAACACUUAGCACAGGGCCAGGCACUGAGAGGUGCUCAAUGACUGGUAGAAACUUACAGCGAUCACCCUCCCAGUGGCAUAGACCUGGCUGGUCUGGGCCUGGAGCUUUAAGCAUGAGCAGGUGUGCUGAGGAGCAGGGUGGGGGUGCUGGGCUCUGCAGAGGGUCUGAAUGGAAUGAUCGCACCAUCCCAGGUCCAGGUUGGCCAGGAGAAGAAGAGAAGCCAAGGAAACUUCGAGGAUAAGGGGAUCUGAGGCUGGAGGCCUCCAUGAAGGUAAAAGCAAGAGGAAGGGGCCAGGAGAAAGAUCUAUGGUUUGAGAGGAGGAUUUCUAAGUUUCAUUCUGUCCUACUUCUGAGCACUCACAGUAUGCCAGGUGCCAGGUGCGGCAAUUUACAUCCCUAACCUCAUCCAACCCUGAGACCCCCCCCCCCCGAGGCGUGUUCAUUCCAGGCGCCUGUCCCUCCCCCAGAUCUAUGAGGCCUUGUGACCCCCUGAUCAGGUGCAGACCCUAAGUGGUUCUGCAGUCAUUGUCAAGGUUGGGCAGGACAAAGGAGCAGGGCCAGUCAGAUCCCCUCUGUCACGUCUGUGAAUUGGGAAGGAUGGGGAAUAUCUGGUCAUAAGAAGUGACAACAGCAACGUGGUUCAGAGGGAGGAGCCAUGGCAUUGGGUUGUAGCUGUGAGAGGUCAUGUGCAAAGGUCGUGGGGAGCAGGGUCUCUGAGGAACGAGAAGAGAGAGGCAGAGAAGAGAGGGCAGACUCAGCCUAUGAGCAGACAGCAGCCGAGAUCCACGGGCGGAGAGAUGAAGAGAGACACCGGCCCCCCAGGUAGCCUCUGUUCCUCCCAAGGUCUAGGUCUGGUUCCAGUCCUUGAAGCUUCCUCCUUCCCCAACUCCCCUUUGUUUGAUUGGGCUCCAUUAUUUUUCUGUCCUUUGCCUCUGAAGAAAUCCAGAUAAAGUAUAUUCCCAUUUGGCAGAUGAGAAAACUAAGGCUGGGGUGGGAAAUGACUUAAAAAGUCACGUAGCUAGCAGGCUAAGGGGUAGAGCUAGAAUUAGAAUCCAAGAACCUUCUUUCUCCAGAGCCCUGUCUCCUCCUUCCUGAGCCCCAAUUAGGCCAGGGCCCCUUCUCUUCAUCCCUGGUUCUUACCCUUAGACGCUGUUGCUCCUUAAAUCCCAGAGUCCUGCCAAGUGGGAGCGCAGUCAGGUGCCAGCAAGAGGCUCUCCUGGCUGAGAGGAUUGCUUUGUUCCCCAAAUCUACCCCGCCUCAGGGCCCCUUCUUGGGAUCCCUCACCCCCCCAGUCCCUUUGAGUCUUCCCACCCCUCUGGGAACUCUUGGCAUUCAUGUGGAAAACACCCACAGUGGCUGGGCAUGACAUUUUAGGGCUCUGGGGAGAGGAUAAAGGGGCUUGCAGGAUGCAGAUGGGGGGACGAAGGCCAGAUCUGAGCAGUGAUGGUGAGAAUACGUUCCCCCAGAGUGGGUCCCAGGUCUACAUAAGGCCCAAUAAUCCCCUUGAAACCUCACAACUUCCUAGUAAAGUCAGUCCUGUCAUCCCCAUUUUACAGCUGGGAAAACUGAGACUCGGAGAUACAUAUAAAGUCCUUCCCAAAGCGAAGUACCCAGUAAGAGACAAAGCUGGGCUUUCCCCCCUGACCUCUUAAGUCUAAGCCUCGGCACCUCCUGCCACUACAGCUGCCUGUCCUCCCCCAGGAGGAAGCUGCCACUCAGAGAAGAGCCCUCACCUGUGGGAUGGCUGUGGCUCUGGGCCAGUGGCCUCCCUCCCUGGGUCUCAGCUGAGUGGGGAAGGGUCCAGAAGGCAAGGGAUUUCUAAGAUCCACCCGCCUGCUGGUCCAGUGACUUACAGUCUCCACUGCUGGGCAUCGUCCAGUCCACUCCCCAUCCUCCCUAACAAUUAAUCUCCAGCCAACAGUCCCAGCUGCAGUGCUCUCACCAUCCAAUUACCGGAGUUGCUAGCACAAUAAAUCUUGGUCACACAAAUGCAGGCAAAUCUGCAGCUAUUUUCAUGGCCAUUACUGUGCAUAGGACAUUGUGACUCAGGUCAUUUGCCUUUUUAACAGGGGGCGCUGCUCCCCGCCUCCCAUCUUUCCUGUCUUCUUUCACAUCUCUUGGGUGGCUGCCCCACCCCCUCCCGUCCCCCUCUGCCCAUCGUCCCCCUAAGCACACAGUCCUCCCUCCCCUCGCCUAACUGUAGGUCAUGGGGCCAAGAUCAGAAGAGUCUGUGUGACUUUGGUUAAGUCAGUUCACCUCUCUGAGCUUCUGUUUCUUUACCUGUCAGACAGAAGUAGUAUCGAUCUUAUACGGUUUGGGGAAACUAACCCCAGCGUGGCACACACCUCACUGGUGGUACAUAGGAUGUUUGUUUUAUUGGCUACAUAUUAAAUGUGUAGAAGGAAAAAUACGACCAAUGUAUCAAACCUGUGAUCUCCUGCGUAUUAUUACCUAAAAGACAGUGAAAUUAGGUAUAGACAUAAAAUAUGCUAAAGAAAAAUAUUAAGAAUAAUACAUGGAUUUACAAAAAUCAUGGGAGAGGCAUGGGACCGAGAGAAACUGCAUGGCUACCCUUGGUAAAUAUUUGUUCUGCUCUCCACACUGCCUGCCUGUGGAGGGAGCGUGGGGACCCGUCCAGCUCUGAGAGGCAAUCGGAUCUAAUCUGGUGUAUGGGAGGGGUGCCUCAUUCUUGUGAUAAAGUGUCCCCAGUGCCUGUUCCAUGCAGGCUUCUGGUGGGUGCUGGGGACACAGAGCUCAAAUGGCAGGUCCUUGCCCCAGUGAAGGCCCCGCUGGUCUCCCUCACUUCGGAAUGAAACCCUCUCGGGACGCGCCCAGGUAGCUGUCUUGACUGUUACCUGACAUGAUGUUGAGUGGCCUUUCCCUGAGGCUCUGGUUUGAGGAAUGGCAGCACCAGGCCCCAAGCUGAGGAGCGGAGCUUGAAGGCUGCACACACUCCAUAAAGACAGACGUGAAGGAGCAUGUGGGACACAGGACAGGAUGGGCUGUGGGGGCAGAAGUCAGCAGCAGCCUUGUAAGACGUGCUCUCUUUGUGCUGAGAAGUCACUGCCAUGAUGGAGAGCGGAGUGUCCCAGAGCUCCUGAGAGGAGUGGGUGAGCCUGAGGGUGGGCAGCAAGCUUGGGGAGUUGGGAACCCACAAGCCCACCCCGGGGCAGCCCCUGAGUUGCGCAGAGAUGGGGAUGAGGCCUGCAGGGCAGGACUCCCACUGCAGGCAACUGUCCAGCACCAGGGAUGAAAGAAGCAUGAGCAGUGGACUCAGAGGAUGCCUCCCGGCCUUCCUGGCCUUCCCACGCUCCACCCAAGAACACACAGGCGAGAACAGGGGCAGGAUCCGUGGACAGGACAGAUGACCUCGGACCACCUAAGGGUGACGCCAUCCAUAGACAGGGCCAGGCCUUGGGCCUCUGACAGAAGCAAAGGAAAACUCAGCUGCCAUCUCUGAGUGAGGUCUUGGCAACAGAGAGGGCAGAGGGGGAAGCAUGCUGUGCCAGGAAAACCACGCCCACCAUACCUCAGUGGACGAGACAGGUCUGUAGGUCCACUGAUCUCAAACAGAGCAGGACAGAAGCAGAUCAGGCACACACCCAGAAUUUCCUCCUCUGGAAAGCCACUGCCCACCUCAGGGCAUCCAUUUCUCCUUGGGGACAGCAGAGUUAGUCACUUAUUGUGAUGCUGCAGGAUGGUUUUGAAAGACUGACAGAUUGCUGCCCUGUCACCAACUCCAGGCACUGCUGUUGAAGAGUCCAGGGUGUCUGUGGCCAGUGGGGAGUUGGAGGAGAUUGCCAUCUGGUGGUCACUGUUGGCAGUGCCAUGGGGCCACAGGCAAAAUCCUGGUCUGGGGGCUCCCAGGCUUAGAUCCAGGCUUGACUUUAAUUGUAUGACCUUGGGCAAGUCACCCUCUGGGCCUCGUUUUUCUCAUCUAAAAUAUAUCCAAUGAUGCCAGCCUUACAUGGCAAUAGUGGGCAUUAAACUGAACAAUUGUGCUGACAUACCUCUCUUGGGCAGGCCCCUUAGCAAAGGUUGGAUACACUCAGGUCUUGUCCUAGUCAGACUCAGAGCAAGGAUCACCUCCGAGACAGCGGAGGAGGUGAGUGCUCUCAAUUUAGAUGCAGGAAAGCAAUCCUAGGCCCAAAUCACCCUCUCUUAGAAUCCCCCAGAGAAGCCAGACCUGGGCUCCCAAGCCUUGAGCUUUCAGGUAGCCAUGCUCAGCCCAAUCUCAGACACUCAAACCCAGGGUUUCCCACGUCUGCCCUGUACUCAUUAGAAGAAGGUGUGCCCUCUGGGUGGUUGCAGCCUUACAGGUACAUGGCUUGGGGAGUACAUGGCUCUGCACUAGCUGGAUUUCAGGCCCCCUUGCCCAUUGGCCAGACACUUUUGUGUGCUAUACCAAAAGAGCAGCUCUGUCCAAAUGCAUCUCUUACCUGAGCUCCUGACUCUGAAACCCAUCUUUUCCUAGUUGGCAGGAUCAGCCUCAGCUCCCCAGCGAGUACAAGUGUGUCUGUUGCUAUGGACCCUUCUCAGGUCCCAUUGGGCCAUGAAGGUGUGAUGAAGACCUGAGCUUAGUAUGAGGCUUCUGCCCUCCAUCAGCAACCCCUGGAGCACUGGGAUACUCCCUGGCCCAGAAACCAGACUUGCAACCCUACUCCCCAGCCCUAACACAACCUCCUGAGAGUU